GCCUCUUGGAAGAGAUAAAUAACAACUCAUUCACAAGGAUAAUAAUCACACCAAAGGUAAGAAAAAUAUAUAUAAGUUGGGGGCAGUGUUCUCUUCUUAUCUUCACAGGAAAACACUCAUUUUCAAAGAAUUCAAGGGACCCUGGAUAUUUGAAUACUGAUGAAUAAAAACCAUCUACAACCCAAAGAGGAUCAGCAAUAAAACCAAAUAGUUUAGGUUAGACAUGUGUGCACUCACCACUGCCUGCUGUGUAGACCUCGCCUUGGCUCUCAGCACAUGCAGAACACUGACCAGGCUGAGCCUCGACUGGGUCACCUUGGCCCAUCAUGGGAUGGAGCUGCUGUGUGAGGCUUUGACUUGCAGAGGCUGCACUGUGAAGGUGCUGGGACUUGGACAAUGUCACUGUGACUGAGUGGUCUAACUGUAUAGACUUAUCCACUGCACAGCAGCAGGACACAGGCAUCUCUCAUUCCUCGGGUGAACUCUCAGUAAUGGAACUGUGGCCAGCGACUGUUCUCAGAGAAUAUGAUGGGAUAUACUAACUUCCAAGCACAUCUGUUUCCAUGUCUCACACUUUAGCAAGGGUUGGAAACCUACCCAUUUCUACAGUACAACUGUGACCCGCUAUCCUGUCUCACCCUUUCUCAGCAAUGGUAUAUUGUGGACCGUGUUAUCUUCCGGAUUUCUUAGCAUUAUACUGUUGGACAUCGCGUUCUCUUUCACGGCUGAGAAGGACAAGUUUUGGACAGCAGAAUCGAGUUGCUCUGGACUCAGAGCUUUGCCCAGAAAUUGACACACUUUUUGAAAGUUGCCUCUCAGGUCCUGUGAGCGGAAAAGGAGUGAUCAGAAGAGAGUGAGUGGAUACCAGGACUGAUGAAGACAGAGUGUUCAGGAGAGAGUGGGUACCAGCAGUGACGGAGAUGGAGUAAUCAGGAGAGGGUGGAUACCAGAACUGAGGGAGACAGAGCCCUUGAGUGCUCAUCAAGGUUUUGAGCAUCACUGAGGGAAGCCAGGGCAGGAGCUAGAGGCAGGAACUGAAGCAGAGACCACAGAGGAGCGCUGCUCACUGACUUCUCCCUAAG